rnacentral:rRNA from 1 species
UACGUAGGGCGCAAGCGUUGUCCGGAAUUAUUGGGCGUAAAGAGCUCGUAGGCGGUUUGUCGCGUCUGCUGUGAAAACCUAAGGCUCAACCUUGGGCUUGCAGUGGGUACGGGCAGACUAGAGUGCGGUAGGGGUGACUGGAAUUCCUGGUGUAGCGGUGGAAUGCGCAGAUAUCAGGAGGAACACCGGUGGGCGAAAGGCGGGUCUCUGGGCCGAUACUGACGCUGGAGGAGCGAAAGCGUGGGGAGCGAACAGG